CCUACGGGGGGCUGCAGUGGGGAAUAUUGCGCAAUGGGCGAAAGCCUGACGCAGCGACGCCGCGUGAGGGAUGACGGCCUUCGGGUUGUAAACCUCUUUCAGCAGGGACGAAGCGAAAGUGACGGUACCUGCAGAAGAAGCACCGGCUAACUACGUGCCAGCAGCCGCGGUAAUACGUAGGGUGCAAGCGUUGUCCGGAUUUAUUGGGCGUAAAGAGCUCGUAGGCGGUCUGUCGCGUCGGAUGUGAAAACUUGGGGCUCAACCCUGAGCUUGCAUUCGAUACGGGCAGACUAGAGGAUGGCAGGGGAGACUGGAACUCCUGGUGUAGCGGUGGAAUGCGCAGAUAUCAGGAAGAACACCGGUGGCGAAGGCGGGUCUCUGGGCCAUUACUGACGCUGAGGAGCGAAAGCGUGGGGAGCAAACAGGAUUAGAUACCCCUGUAGUC
rnacentral:rRNA from 1 species